rnacentral:misc_RNA from 1 species
CCAUCUGUAAAUUGUUUUUAUUUGAACGUAUCAGAGAAAGUAAUGUUUAAGCGAAAUUUAUUUUCCUCAGAAAUAUUCAUGAAGUUUGUAAGCAUUUUAUCAUCAAUUCAAUUAAUCAAUCAACCAAUUUAUUGUUUUUUCUUUACAUCCCAAUUUUCCGCUAGUGAACAUUCAUAAAGUUAUCUCCUAUAUUUUAAUUGUUAUUUUUUGAGAUUAUUUUAAUUAAUUACAUAAGUGAAAUGGCGACUGCCGUGUUAGCAAGUGCUGGUCUUGCUGCUAAAUUUAGAGGAUGUUUGAUUGGUUCCUUGAUUGGAGAUUGUCUGGGUGCUCCUUUUGAAGGUGAUUUUCCUAUUUCAAAGAGCGUGCUAGGAAAUUUCUUCACUAAUAUUUUAAAUGGAGAAACAAAGCAAAUGUUACCCUAUACAGAUGAUACAGCAAUGACGCUAUCAGUUGCCAAAUCCCUGAUAGAAAAUAAAAAAAUCUGUCCUAUUGACUUAGCGAAAAGAUUUGUCAAUGUAUAUUUUGAUCAACCAACACGAGGAUAUGGUAUGAAUGUUUUGCAAGUCUUUGAAACUCUGAAGGAGACAGAAUUUCAAGACGUGUUUCUUCCUGCUAAAAUGCAGUUCAAUGGAUCUGGAUCUUAUGGUAAUGGAGCUGCUAUGAGAAUCGCACCUGUUGCCUUAUUUGCUCAUGAUAAAGAGGACGACUUCAUAAAAAAUGCAGUGGAACAGUGCUCCUCUGUAACUCACACUCAUCCUAAUGGUUAUAAUGGAGCAAUAUUACAGUGCUUAGCAGUACACUCAGCUCUAAAAUUGGAUUCUUCUAAGGAACUAGAUCCUAUAAAAUUCAUUUCUGAACUUGAAGAAAAGAUGAAAAAAAUAGAAACACAGGUGAAUAUUAGAGCAAAACUCCUUACUGUGAUAGUUUGAAGAAAAUAAGAGAAAUUUAUCUUAAAAAGCAAGAAGAUAUGUCAUCUGAAGAAGUUGCUAAGUAUUUAGGUAAUGAUGUUUCAGCCUUGAAAUCUGUUCCAACUGCAAUUUAUUCAUUUCUCUGAUCUCUGAAACCACUUCCAAAUUUUGAGAAUUCAAAUCCAUUUGUUCGUGCAAUCUACUUUGCAAUAUCGGUUGGUUAUGAUACUGAUACCAUUGCUACAAUGGCUGGUGGCAUUGCUGGUGCUUAUCUUGGUGAAGACAUAAUUCCUAAUAAUGUUAAAAUUAGAUGUGAGAAAAUAGAUGAAGUUGAAAAAUUAGCUGAUGACCUACUAAAAGCCUGUCAAAUUUAAAUUUGCUUUUUCUUUCAUACUGAAAGACUAGGUAUGCAUAAUGCAAAAAUUAUUAUGAUUUUUAUACAUUUAUUUCCUGUAUAAUUUUUGUUUUGAAAUAAAAAAAAACUACUUAA